UUCAAUUUGCUUUAUCUAAUUGCAUAUUGAAAUAUGUUUGAGGACUUUUGUUCUGCUAUUCGCGUUUCCAUUUCAGCUGGGCAGAUGUAAGUACACUUCAUCCGUGUAUUAACUAAAUAUGACAAAUUUUGUUGUGCUACACAAAAUGUAUUUUUUUCAAUUUUAGGUCAGCAAUGGUAAGUAGAUUGUGUUUCUUAAUGUAAAUUCUGUAUGCAUAUUGUGUUUUUUUAUCAUAUCAUGUCUUUUAUAUUUUGGCUUUGUGUUAGUAAAAACAGAUGUUAAAAAAUCAUUCUUAAACUUGACACUACAAAUGUAUUGUGCUAUGCAAAAUGUUUGUAUGAUUUCAGUUUCCAUAGUGAGUAUCAAAACAGUUGAAAAGUUAGUUCAGUUAACGUUUUGGUUCACAGUUCUGUUUGUUAUUUGGCAAAAUUUACAAGUAUGCAUUGCGUCUUGAUUUCAGCUCGAGUGUAGACUGAAUAAGAUUGCCAGCAGAAGGAUAGGAUACAAAAUACAAACUUUACUACUAGACGAGUCAGCUUUACUACUAGACGAGCAGUGACAACAAGGCGCCUUUGUGGAAACAACAAAACAAACAACUCAACUUUUAGACGAGCAGUGACAGCAAGGCGCCUGAAUAGACAACACAACACAAAAAAUGCCAAUUUGCAAACCUCGAUGUGGACACCGAGUAGUCAAUACAUACGUGUGGCGUACAGCUGCGACAAAACAGUGGGUACAUCGCACCGAUAACUUGAACAUUGUCCCGUGUAUGGACAUCAGUGCAACUUUGUAAAUCCAUGUCAAUUUGUGAAUCCAUGUAACUUUGCGAAUGUGUGUCGAUCGAAAAUUGUAAACAUUCUGAACUGAAACGAACCCGGUGUUGCAAGUGGCAAGUGUUGACAGUGUGUAUGUUUUUACAUGAAAAAUAAAGAAGAUUGUUCUCCUGCCUUUUUUUCCUUGUUGUAUU